GAUGAACGCUGGCGGCGUGCCUAACACAUGCAAGUCGAACGGAGUCCAGCCUUUAAGACCUUCGGGUCAAAGAGGGGAAGCCUGAGUGGCGGACGGGUGAGUAACACGUGGGCAACCUGGCUCAUAGAGGGGGAUAACAGAGAGAAAUUUCUGCUAAUACCGCAUAAGCACACACUGCCGCAUGGCAGAGGGUGAAAAGAGAAUCGCUAUGAGAUGGACCCGCGUCUGAUUAGCCAGUUGGCAGGGUAAGAGCCUACCAAAGCGACGAUCAGUAGCCGAUCUGAGAGGAUGAACGGCCACAUUGGGACUGAGACACGGCCCAAACUCCUACGGGAGGCAGCAGUGGGGGAUAUUGCACAAUGGGGGGAACCCUGAUGCAGCGACGCCGCGUGAGUGAAGAAGUAUUUCGGUAUGUAAAGCUCUAUCAGCAGGGAAGAUAAUGACAGUACCUGAAUAAGAAGCCCCGGCUAACUACGUG
rnacentral:rRNA from 1 species